AUAUAUAUAUAUAUAUACACUAGGGCUGAAACAAUUACUCGACAUUAUCGACAACGUCGACGAUAAAAAUAAAAUUUUCAGCAAAUGUUUUUGAGUAACGUUAGUGGUUUGAUCUCGUAUCUGCCUGAUUUGAAAGCCUGCAUUAAUGCAGUUUGACCAGUGUGGCGCUGUAGCGCAAGAUUGUAAUACACUCUCCUGAUUCAAUUAAAAAGAAGAAGAUAGCACUUCAGUUUGAGGCAAACCGACCCGAUCCGAACCUUGGAUGAAUAUGUUUGUGCAGAAUUUGAGACAUCCAGAAUUACCAUAGGCCCAUUAGAAUCAACAAUCUUUGCCAAACUUGAUUCGGACUGCAAAAUUUACGAAGAUGUUUUCAUACUGAAGAAGAGACCUUGGACAAAUACUGAAACCCUCUUGGUGCCCACUACACAGGCAGGGGUGUCCAGACCUGCUCUAGGAAAGCCAGUGUUCUGUGGGGUUCAGCUCUAACACACCUGCCUGGAACUUCAGACUAAUGAAAUUGAAGUAUCCAAAUGAAGACCCUAGCAGUAUGGAGUAUAUGGAUACAGACGUUGCCAGCAGUCAGGAGGUGAUCCAGAAGACUCAUGGGAAUCUAUUUGAAGCUGCAUCAUUGAAGACAGUCCAGCAGAAGUUGGAGUUUUAAAGGAUAAAGUUCUUCAGGACCUAUAGCAGUUUACAGUCUGUAAAACCAUGUUACUGGGACUGAUUUAUGGACUGAACUUGAGCAACCCUCCUGAACUCAGGUACACAUUUGGAAUACUGAAGAAGUUAUUUCUGGAGCCACUUCCUGUUCCUGGAAUAAGGUUUGAUUGGUUGCCCAUGAAUGCCAAUUAGAAUUGUAUUUGCUAUUUUGUGUAAUUUUGUAAUGUGGUUUAAACUGUAUUUUACUGUGUGUAAUUAUUUAUUGCUUGUUUAACAAAUACACUUUGAUCAUUUGUGA